GAAACUGCGAAUGGCUCAUUAAAUCAGUUAUCGUUUAUUUGAUAGUACCUUACUACAUGGAUACCUGUGGUAAUUCUAGAGCUAAUACAUGCUAAAAACCCCGACUUCAGGAAGGGGUGUAUUUAUUAGAUAAAAAACCAAUGCCCUUCGGGGCUCCUUGGUGAAUCAUAAUAACUUAACGAAUCGCAUGGCCUUGCGCCGGCGAUGGUUCAUUCAAAUUUCUGCCCUAUCAACUUUCGAUGGUAGGAUAGUGGCCUACCAUGGUCUCAACGGGUAACGGGGAAUUAGGGUUCUAUUCCGGAGAGGGAGCCUGAGAAACGGCUACCACAUCCAAGGAAGGCAGCAGGCGCGCAAAUUACCCAAUCCCAAUUCGGGGAGGUAGUGACAAUAAAUACUGAUACAGGGCUCUUUCGGGUCUUGUAAUUGGAAUGAGUACAAUCUAAAUCCCUUAACGAGGAACAAUUGGAGGGCAAGUCUGGUGCCAGCAGCCGCGGUAAUUCCAGCUCCAAUAGCGUAUAUUAAAGUUGUUGCCGUUAAAAAGCUCGUAGUUGAACCUUGGGCCUGGCUGGUCUGUCCUCCUAAU
rnacentral:rRNA from 1 species